rnacentral:rRNA from 1 species
GUGAGGAAUAUUGGUCAAUGGGCGCAAGCCUGAACCAGCCAUGCCGCGUGCAGGAAGACGGUCCUAUGGAUUGUAAACUGCUUUUAUUUGGGAAUAAACUCCGGUACGUGUACCGGCCUGAAGGUACCAAAUGAAUAAGCACCGGCUAACUCCGUGCCAGCAGCCGCGGUAAUACGGAGGGUGCAAGCGUUAUCCGGAAUCAUUGGGUUUAAAGGGUCCGCAGGCGGUAUUAUAAGUCAGUGGUGAAAGCCUACAGCUCAACUGUAGAACUGCCAUUGAUACUGUAGGACUUGAAUUCGAUCGAAGUGGGCGGAAUGUGACAUGUAGCGGUGAAAUGCUUAGAUAUGUCACAGAACACCGAUAGCGAAGGCAGCUCACUAGGUCUGGAUUGACGCUCAGGGACGAAAGCGUGGGGAGCAAACAGGAUUAGAUACCCUAGUAGUCC